UCAAGCUAAUAAGAGCACAGGGUGGAUGCCCAGGCACCAAACGCCGACGAAAGACGUGGCAAGCUGCGAAAAGUCACGGGGAACCGCAAGCAGGUAUUGAUCCGUGAACGUCUGAAUGGGGAAACCCGGCGGGUUAACAGCCCGUCACUAUUAACUGAAUCAAUAGGUUAAUAGGGGGAACGCGGGGAACUGAAACAUCUCAGUACCCGUAGGAAGAGAAAAUAAAGAAUGAUUUCCUAAGUAGCGGCGAGCGAACGGGAAAGAGGCCAAACCGAAGGGCUUGCUCUUCGGGGUUGUGGAUCAGCAAAAAGGACGGAAGACCUUAGCAGAAGAGGAUUGGAAAGUCCCGCCAGAGAGGGUAAAAGCCCCUUACGCGAAAAGGUCAAACGACGAGCUGACACCAGAGUACCGCAGGACACGAGAAAUCCGGUGGGAAGCCGGGAGGACCACCUCCCAAGCCUAAAUACGAAUUGGUGACCGAUAGCGCAUAGUACCGUGAGGGAAAGGUGAAAAGAACCCCGGGAGGGGAGUGAAAAAGAACCUGAAACCCUGUGUUUACAAGCAGUGAAAGUGCAAGAAAGGCACGAUCACGUACUUUUUGUAGAACGGACCGGCGAGUUACGUUAUGCAGCAAGGUUAAGAACUAAAGGUUCGGAGCCGAAGCGAAAGCGAGUCUGAAUAGGGCGAUAGUUGCAUGACGUAGACCCGAAACCGGGUGACCUAUCCAUGAGCAGGUUGAAGUGGAGGUAAAGCUCCAUGGAGGACCGAACCAGACGUCUGUUGAAAAAGGCGGGGAUGACUUGUGGAUAGGGGAGAAAUUCCAAUCGAACCCGGAGAUAGCUGGUUCUCCUCGAAAUAGCUUUAGGGCUAGCCUCAUGGAUCAUUGAUGGGGGUAGAGCACUGAAUGUGCGCGGGGGCCACAAAGCCUACCAAACGCUAUCAAACUACGAAUACCAUACAAUGCAGACCAUGGGAGUCAGUCCGCGAGAGAUAAGUUCCGCGGGCAAAAGGGGAACACCCCAGAUCAACCGCUAAGGUCCCCAAGUUCACGUUAAGUGGAGAAGGAUGUGGAAUUGCACAGACAACCAGGAUGUUGGCUCAGAAGCAGCCACACAUUUAAAGAGUGCGUAAUAGCUCACUGGUCGAGUGAUUGUGCGCCGAAGAUGUCCGGGGCUAAACGUGACACCGAAGCGAUGGGUGCAUCUGAAAGGAUGCGCGGUAGAGGAGCAAUGUGCAGAGGCAGAAGCCGUAUCGAGAGGCACGGUGGACACUGCACAAGAGAGAAUGCCGGUAUGAGUAGCGAGAGGCAUGCGAGAAACAUGCCCGUCGAAAGCCCAAGGUUUCCUGGGGAAGGUUCAUCCGCCCAGGGUAAGUCGGGGCCUAAGCCGAGGACGGAAGUCGUAGGCGAUGGACAGCAGGUGUAGAUUCCUGCACUACCGAUGGAAUGAAGCAGUGACACAGAAGGAUAACUCGAGCAGGGUGAUGGUCAACCCUGUGCAAGCAUCAAGGUUGGGUUGUAGUGAAGUACGCAACCCUACAAGCUGAGAUGUGAUGCGGACCGAAAUUUCAGUAGGGAAGCGAGUGAGUUCACGCUGGCGAGAAAAGCUGCUAGUACAUCCAAAGGUACCCGUACCGGAAACCGACGCAGGUGGGCGAGGAGAGAAUCCUGAGACGAACGGGAGAACCCUUGUUAAGGAACUCGGCAAAAUGACCCCGUAACUUCGGGAUAAGGGGUGCCUGCGAGAGCAGGCCGCAGAGAAUAGUCACAAGCGACUGUUUAGCAAAAACACAGGUAUCUGCGAAAGCGAGAGCUGACGUAUAGGUGCUGACACCUGCCCGGUGCUGGAAGGUUAAGGGAACAUGUUAGAGCAAUCGAAGCAUCGAACCGAAGCCCCAGUAAACGGCGGCCGUAACUAUAACGGUCCUAAGGUAGCGAAAUUCCUUGUCGGGUAAGUUCCGACCCGC
rnacentral:rRNA from 1 species